rnacentral:rRNA from 1 species
UCGCGAAGCAAAACAAGGGAAGCGAGCAGUCGAAACCGGAGCAACAAGGUAAGCUAGAAGAGCCGCCCGGGAUGGC